CAUUGAUGUCAUCAAAUUUCUAGGAGUAGUUUGUCACAGUGUAAAAUAUGUCACUUCCUGUUGCCAAUAGGUGGCGCUAUGACUAUAACUGAACAUUGGCAUGUAGAUCUGUUCAGGUCAAGAGUCUCAUCCAACAUGUGAAGUUUGGGGUAGAUUGGACAUUGUAUGUCUGAGUUACAGCAACUUCCUUUUUCAUGGCGAAACAUCUAAAUUUGUCAGGCCGCCAUGGAUACGCCCUUUAACGAAACCUCAUGUCCUUCGCAAUUUAACAUCGCAAAUGGCUUUAGAUUACACUGAUCAAGUUUGGUGUUGAUCUGAAUAAAUCUCUAGGAGGAGUUCGUUAAAGUACAACCCCUGAAAAUGGCAAAAACAACACCAAUUUUGAAGGGAAAAUUCAAAAUAACCGACUUCCUGUUGGGAUCCGGAUUUCAUACCAAGAGACUUUUUUGUAGGUAUUGGAGUGUUACAUGUGUGUACCAAUUUUUGUACAUGUACGUGAAACAUAGCUCGAGGCGCACUCCGUUGAAAGUGUAUAGGUGGCGCUAUAGAGCCAUUCUGCCACACCCGGUGGAAUAUUGGCCUGAAGAUCUGUUCAGGCCAGGACUCUUAUCACACAUGUGAAGUUUGGGGAAGAUCGGACAUCUUAUGCCUGAGUUAUAACAUCUUUUAUUCGCAUGGCGAGACAUCGAACUUCGUCGCGGCGCCAUGAACAAGCCUUU